AUGAGCCUGCGGUGUACGGAAAUCCUUUAAUUCAACCGACAUACUGUAAAAGGGACUUCGAGUUUACCUGGCUAUGGCAAGCCCGCAUUGAACGGGACGUCAGAAUCAGCUAAUAGAAAUCCCACCUGCUUAGGUGCGGGUAUGAAUUAUGGAUUUGCGGCACAGGCGGGUUUUUU
rnacentral:other from 1 species